rnacentral:rRNA from 1 species
GGAAGUGGGAUGACGUCAAGUCCUCAUGGCCUUAUGCCCAGGGCUACACACGUGCUACAAUGGGCGGUACAAAGAGAAGCAACCUCGCGAGGGUGAGCAAAUCUCAAAAAGCCGUUCUCAGUUCGGAUUGAAGUCUGCAACUCGACUUCAUGAAGUCGGAAUCGCUAGUAAUCGCGGAUCAGCAUGCCGCGGUGAAUACGUUCCCGGGCCUU